UACGUAGGGUGCGAGCGUUAAUCGGAAUUACUGGGCGUAAAGCGUGCGCAGGCGGUUUUGUAAGACAGGCGUGAAAUCCCCGAGCUUAACUUGGGAAUGGCGCUUGUGACUGCAAGGCUAGAGUAUGUCAGAGGGGGGUAGAAUUCCACGUGUAGCAGUGAAAUGCGUAGAGAUGUGGAGGAAUACCGAUGGCGAAGGCAGCCCCCUGGGACGUCACUGGCGCUCAUGCACGAAAGCGUGGGGAGCAAACAGG
rnacentral:rRNA from 1 species